rnacentral:rRNA from 1 species
GACGAACGCUGGCUGCGUGCUUAACACAUGCAAGUCGAACGCUGAAGCCUGGUGCUUGCACCGGGUGGAUGAGUGGCGAACGGGUGAGUAACACGUGAGUAACCUGCCCCUGACUUCGGGAUAAGCCCGGGAAACUGGGUCUAAUACCGGAUACGACCGUCGGACGCAUGUCUGGUGGUGGAAAGUUUUUUCGGUUGGGGAUGGGCUCGCGGCCUAUCAGUUUGUUGGUGAGGUAAUGGCUCACCAAGACGACGACGGGUAGCCGGCCUGAGAGGGCGACCGGCCACACUGGGACUGAGACACGGCCCAGACUCCUACGGGAGGCAGCAGUGGGGAAUAUUGCACAAUGGGGGAAACCCUGAUGCAGCGACGCAGCGUGCGGGAUGACGGCCUUCGGGUUGUAAACCGCUUUCAGCAGGGAAGAAGCGCAAGUGACGGUACCUGCAGAAGAAGUACCGGCUAACUACGUGCCAGCAGCCGCGGUAAUACGUAGGGUACGAGCGUUGUCCGGAAUUAUUGGGCGUAA